AUUGAACGCUGGCGGCAGGCCUAACACAUGCAAGUCGAACGAGUGGCGGACGGGUGAGUAAUGUCUGGGAAACUGCCUGAUGGAGGGGGAUAACUACUGGAAACGGUAGCUAAUACCGCAUACCAUCGGAUGUGCCCAGAUGGGAUUAGCUAGUAUGUGGGGUAACGGCUCACCUAGGCGACGAACACUAGCUGGUCUGAGAGGAUGACCAGCCACACUGGGACUGCGACACGGUCCAGACUCCUACGGGAGGCAGCAGUGUGGAAUAUUGCACAAUGGGCGAAAGCCGGAUGCAGCCAUGCCGAGUGUAUGAAGAAGGCCUUCGGGGUGUAAAGUACUUUCAGCGGGGAGGCGUUACCCGCAGAAGAAGCACCGGCUAACUCCGUGCCAGCAGCCGCGGUAAUAC
rnacentral:rRNA from 1 species